rnacentral:tRNA from 1 species
GCGAGAGUGGCGGAACUGGUAGACGCGCUGGACUUAGGAUCCAGUGGGGUAUCCUGUAGGGGUUCGACUCCCCUCUCUCGCACCA